UACGGGGGGGGCAAGCGUUGUUCGGAAUUACUGGGCGUAAAGGGCGCGUAGGCGGCCUGCUAAGUCGGAUGUGAAAUCCCUCGGCUCAACCGAGGAACUGCAUCCGAUACUGGCGGGCUUGAAUCCGGGAGAGGGAUGUGGAAUUCCAGGUGUAGCGGUGAAAUGCGUAGAUAUCUGGAGGAACACCGGUGGCGAAGGCGGCAUCCUGGACCAACACUGACGCUGAUGAGCGAAAGCCAGGGGAGCAAACGGG
rnacentral:rRNA from 1 species